rnacentral:lncRNA from 1 species
UGUAGAGAAAAACAAUUUACAGAUGAUUUCAAAGCUCUUAACUUUACUGACCAUAGAAAAUCGUAAGUAGUAUCAUCACUGCGAUUCAUAAUUGAAGUAUUUUCGGUCUGUUGAGACUCUGUAAAUCCAAUUACAACAACUUUAAAACCCGGGCUUCAAGCUUGAGUGCUCGGAGUCAGCUUUGCCUCACAAUCUGUAUAACC